rnacentral:rRNA from 1 species
UACGGAGGGGGCUAGCGUUGUUCGGAAUUACUGGGCGUAAAGCGCACGUAGGCGGCUUUGUAAGUUAGAGGUGAAAGCCCAGGGCUCAACCCUGGAAUUGCCUUUAAGACUGCAUCGCUUGAACAUCGGAGAGGUAAGUGGAAUUCCGAGUGUAGAGGUGAAAUUCGUAGAUACUCGGAAGAACACCAGUGGCGAAGGCGACUUACUGGACGAUUGUUGACGCUGAGGUGCGAAAGCGUGGGGAGCAAACAGG